GGCGGCGUAGCCAAGUGGCUAAGGCGGAGGCCUGCAAAGCCUCUACUCAGCGGUUCGAAUCCGCUCGCCGCCU
rnacentral:tRNA from 1 species